rnacentral:rRNA from 1 species
UACGGAGGAGGCUAGCGUUGUUCGGAAUUACUGGGCGUAAAGCGCACGUAGGCGGCUUUGUAAGUUAGAGGUGAAAGCCCGGGGCUCAACUCCGGAAUUGCCUUUAAGACUGCAUCGCUAGAAUUGUGGAGAGGUAAGUGGAAUUCCGAGUGUAGAGGUGAAAUUCGUAGAUAUUCGGAAGAACACCAGUGGCGAAGGCGACUUACUGGACACAUAUUGACGCUGAGGUGCGAAAGCGUGGGGAGCAAACAGG